rnacentral:lncRNA from 1 species
ACCCUUAAUCGGCGACCAUAGCCGGAGGUAGUUGUGCAGAGACCUCGUGAGAGGGCAUCAGAUGAGGGAAGGAGGAUUGGGCGUCGGAAAAGAUGGUCGGAAGCGGGUCCGUUGAGCGCUCCUUUAAGAACAAGGGUGCUGCGAAGGUUCAACCCCUUCCUCUAGCGCCAAUCCUGUUGGUGCAAAAAUCUGCUUGCGUCGGAGAAGCUGG